CUUUUCUGUAUGAGAAAUAUGAGUGUAUUCCAAGGAGAUGUGGAGGGCUCAAUAUGCCUAGCGGCCAGCUGUAUCUGCACUAACUCUACGGCCCCUGAUAACUCUUGAGAAGAAAGGGGCCAUUGGUCAAUCCAGACAGUAUCAUCAGUCUUCCAAGUGAUUCUAUUAGCCUGGAGUGCAGAGGAGCAAUGGCCCUAAAGAAAAACCUUCAUACCCUAGUGUGAGGAGCUGCCCUUGCAAUUGCCAUUACAAGAUGGCACUGACAUCGGUGUUCUAACUGGUAAACAAGUAGUUUGCGCAUGUGCUGGGGUAUUUUUCCAUUCCUUGUGCCCUGCCUUUCCCAUGGCGUCAUCUGGGCUGAUGGUGAGCAGCCAAUCAGGGCAAGGCAUGUCUCCAACCGCUCUUCGUGCACUAUAAAAGGGACGGGUUUCCUGUGCUCUAGGUCUCCUCCUCCCCAGAAGCUGAUUCAUCUAUCUCUUGAGAUGCAUUAAAACUUUGCUGCAGAAGGAUCUGAGUGUGUGUCCUGUGUUUGCGUCCCCGCCGGCGAGACUCCUUAUCCCAGACCACAUAUGGUGCUGAAACCUGGGACUUCAACAUCGCUGGCACUGAGGAGACCCCCUGGAGACAGAGCAGAUUAAGAACGGCAGUGGU
rnacentral:lncRNA from 1 species